GCCUAUACUUGCUGCUCUACUGACGACUGCACUCCUCCUGUUCCUAUAUUAUUAUCCAGCAGUUCUGAGCCCAAUGGCCUGGUGUGUCCGUCAUGCCAGUCUGGUUCUGUCUCCGCCUGUGACUCUUCAGUAACCGUAAAUUGUACUGGUAAUAAUAAUAAAUGUCUUUUCCUGACACUAAAUACAACAGCAGGACAAAACUCACGGUUAUCAAUCAUUAAGGGAUGUGCAACAGAAAGCUUCUGUGUCCUUGGGAACUACUCCUAUACUAUUGAAGGUACAUCAGCCAACAUUACCAUAGUUUGCUCCGGUGACCAGACUACAGCCGCUACUCCAACCAGUAUCCAGACUACAACUGUUAAUACAAUCUGCUUCAAUUGACGCAUAAGUGUCCAGAAAAUUGUCCUGACUCCGGCAGUUGUGUGUCUUCUACUGCUGAAAUGGCUUUUCUAGAAGAUUUACAGGUCCAUGUGGCCGAUGCUGACGUUCCUGUCAUUGUCAGAUAUUUCCAGAUUGUUUUACUAUAAAAUUUGAAAAUCCAAAUGUCGACGUCAUGAAGAUGCAAUACAUACAAGUUGUAAGUUGGCUAUUG